AAGAUAGAAGCAUAAUAGUGAUGUGAUUGGCUUGAAACCAGUAAAAGGUGGUUCAAUUCCACCCUUUCUUG
rnacentral:tRNA from 1 species